GACGAACGCUGGCGGCGUGCUUAACACAUGCAAGUCGAACGGAAAGGCCCUGCUUUUGUGGGGUGCUCGAGUGGCGAACGGGUGAGUAACACGUGAGUAACCUGCCCUUGACUUUGGGAUAACUUCAGGAAACUGGGGCUAAUACCGGAUAGGAGCUCCUGCUGCAUGGUGGGGGUUGGAAAGUUUCGGCGGUUGGGGAUGGACUCGCGGCUUAUCAGCUUGUUGGUGGGGUAGUGGCUUACCAAGGCUUUGACGGGUAGCCGGCCUGAGAGGGUGACCGGCCACAUUGGGACUGAGAUACGGCCCAGACUCCUACGGGAGGCAGCAGUGGGGAAAAUUGCACAAUGGGCGGAAGCCUGAUGCAGCAACGCCGCGUGCGGGAUGACGGCCUUCGGGUUGUAAACCGCUUUCGCCUGUGACGAAGCGUGAGUGACGGUAAUGGGGAAAGAAGCACCGGCUAACUACGU
rnacentral:rRNA from 1 species